GAUUAACGCUGGCGGCGUGCCUAACACAUGCAAGUCGAACGAAGUGGCGGACGGGUGAGUAACGCGUGAGUAACCUGCCUUAGAGAAGGGGAUAGCCUUUGGAAACGAAGAAUAAUACCCUAUGCUCUAAGAUGGAGUUGCGUCUGAUUAGUUAGUUGGUGGGGUAACGGCCCACCGAAACAGCGAUCAGUAGCCGGCUUGAGAGAGUGGACGGCCACAUUGGGACAGAGACAAGGCCCAGACUCUACGGGGGGCAGCAGUGGGGAAAUUUGCACAAUGGGGGAAACCCUGAUGCAGCGACGCCGCGUGAUUUAGAAGGCCUUCGGGUUGUAAAAAUCUUUUCUAUGGGAAGCAGUACCAUAGGAAUAAGGACCGGCUAAUUACGUGCCAGCCGCCGCGGUAAUAC
rnacentral:rRNA from 1 species